rnacentral:lncRNA from 1 species
GUUUUGGUGACCGGCACCGGACCUUUAGGCUGUGUUCCGGCGGAAAUAGCAAUGAGGGGAAGAAACGGAGAAUGCUCCGAGGAAUUGCAGAGAGCAGCUGGCUUGUUUAACCCACAGCUUGUGCAAUUGAUAAAUGAACUGAAUGCUGAAAUUGGAUCCGACAUUUUUGUAGCUGCAAAUGCAUAUGAAAUGAACAUGGAUUUUGUUAACAACCCUCAAACCUAUGGUAAGUUAAUUAUCUCAAUUUCUUUUUUUAUUUUUGAAAAAGAGGCAUGAUUUAUUUGCAUAUGAUCAUGAGAUAAAUUUACCUUUACUAUUAGAACAUGCAUGGCCUGUGGAAAUUAUCAAAUAUAAUGAACAGUAGAUGCAGAUGACCAGUGGGCAAAAGGACUUAUUCACUGGAGAGAAAUCUAUGGGACCAUUGAAAAAUAAAUGCAUUAUGUUGUGAUAGGUCUCUCAGCUUUUUAUUAAAUGCUGAAAUUAAUAUGGAAAAAAUUAAAUUAAUUUAAUUUAAUUAGUUUUUCGAUUUGAUACCCUAAUUAUAUAUUAAUUAAAAAGUGCAUAAUUGUGAUUAUUUUUGGCAGGAUUUGUAACAUCCAAGGUUGCAUGCUGUGGGCAAGGACCUUAUAAUGGGAUUGGAUUAUGCACAGUAGUAUCAAACCUGUGCCCUAAUAGAGACAUCUAUGCAUUUUGGGAUCCAUUUCAUCCAUCUGAAAGGGCUAAUAGAAUCAUUGUUCAACAAAUUGUGACUGGCUCCACCAAGUAUAUGCACCCAAUGAAUCUCAGCACCAUCAUGCUUUUGGAUUCUAGG